UGGGAUGUAGCUGAAUAUCAAAUAAUUAGGCAAAUUUGUGCGCGCAUAGUGUUUUUUCCGGAAAAUUUUCGUAGUUUUCGUAAAAUAUUGAGUUUUGUGAAAUAAUAUAUAUGUAAAUCUUGCAUUAGCGAAAUACUGACUUUCUUUUUAAAUAAGAUUUAAACAUUUUGUAUUUGCAAUACACGUGAGUCGUGUGCUAGCAGAGGUUUUACAAAUAUCGGCCUCGUGGAGAUUUGGAAGUUUCUGGCCAAACAACAAACAACAAACAAAAAAAAUGCCGAAAAGAUGUGUAUGCAGAUGUGCAGAAGUAAGCUCCCUCUACAAGUUUCCUUUGGCCUCGGAUGUAUCAAGGCUUAUUGACCAAGAAUGAUACGGGAAGUAAAUUAUCGAAAAUUUUCACAUCACGAAACCGGUGGACUUAUAUUUAAUUAAUAAUUUUAACAUCGCGCCUUUAUUGUAUUUUUAAUAGCUUUAACCUUUUAAUAAGAUAGCUAAGAUGGUACGUGCUGUUAAUUCCUCUUUGUAUCUAAUUAAUUUUAAUUAGUAUGCGUGGAGUUAAAUUUAGUGUAAAAGCAGCAAAAUAUAUUAUUAUGUACUUCGGUUUUCAGCUGCUUACU